rnacentral:lncRNA from 7 species
UAAAACUGUAUUUGAAAGGGCAUAAAGAAACCUUAUUUGGGGAAAUCAGGUAGAAUUCCAUGAACAAUACCUUAUUUCCUGAAUGGCUUCCAGAAGAAUCGUUGGUACUUAUAUUCUUAGAGGCUAUUAAUGGAUACGGAGGACUCAGAUGGCUGGUCAAGUGAAAAGCCUUGAUCAGAAUUCAGAGCUGUGUGUACCAGAUGUGUUGAGGAAAUGAUUUACUGUAAGCAAAAUAACUGCUCUUGGUUGAAGCACUGAAUCCAGUAAGAUGAAGAAUGUCAAAAGGAGUCUACGAAUGAGACCCAGGAUGGCAGUUCCACUCUUGAUUGAGAGGUUGAGGAAGUGGACUAAUGCAUGAGUGCUGUGAUAUAUCUGUCCAAGAAAAGGACGUUAAAACAUGGACUGCUGUGUUUUUUAAACCAGAGAAGAUCUGGGUUGUGAUCAUCCAAUCAAAAUGGACUUUGCACUUGAAUUAAUCAAGGGACUGUGUCAGUGGUUAUCCAUGAUGGAUCUGUUUCAGGAUUGGGUGGUAAAAUUUUAUUCUCAGAUUACGUAUAUAUGCUUAAGAGGGAAAGUAAUUUGGUAAGAAAUCUGUUACGAUCCCAUUGGACAAAAUGUGUAUAUAUAUAUAUAUUUUUAAAGUGACUUAAUAAAAGGUUUUGGUUUCUU